AUCUGGGCGGCGGAAUUCAGGAUGGCUGGCGUGCUCUCGCGGUGCGUCGGUCGUUUGAUAUUUCCGUCGCCAACUCACGCAGACGUCGCGACCUGUUCGCGGUCGGUCCCUGCUCGGAGGAGCCGCGUUCGAGCUCGUUGUGUGCGCGUUUCGGCGUGUCACACGGUGAAGGCGCGGAUCUCUGGCUGGCCGUCGGACAGUAUGCUUAACGGUGUCCGGUGUCGUCGUCUCGUACGCGCGGCACCGGUACCGGUCAGCGACGAAUUCUUCGGGCCUCUUUCCGACCCGUCUUGAAACACGGACCAAGGAGUCUAACAUGCGCGCGAGUCGCGGGGUAUCGAGCGUACUUCGGUGCGUUCGUUAUGUUGCGAAACCCGUACAUGUCGAAGGCGUAAUGAAAGUGAAUGGGGAAGAUGGUGUUCCGAGUUCACGUUCCGCGAUCAUCGGUAUCGCGGCCGGACGCCCGCAUUCCCGGGGCGUCUCAACGGCCCGUCGCUGAUGCGGACAGUCGUCUCUCGGGGCGGCUGUCGGUCGGCGACGAACCGA
rnacentral:rRNA from 1 species